AACCCUUAGUAGAGCGGCGCACGGGUGCGUAACACGUGGAUAAUCUGCCUGGAUGCCUGGGAUAACCAGUCGAAAGAUUGGCUAAUACCGGAUAAGCCCACGGUCUCUUCGGAGACUGAGGGAAAAGGUGGCCUCUGUAUACAAGCUAUCACAACCAGAUGAGUCCGCGGCCCAUCAGCUAGUUGGCGGGGUAAUGGCCCACCAAGGCAACGACGGGUAGCUGGUCUGAGAGGACGAUCAGCCACACUGGAACUGAGACACGGUCCAGACUCCUACGGGAGGCAGCAGUGGGGAAUUUUGCGCAAUGGGCGAAAGCCUGACGCAGCAACGCCGCGUGUGUGAUGAAGGUCUUUGGAUUGUAAAGCACUUUCGACCGGGACGAAAACCCGAAGGCUAACAUCCUUCGGCUUGACGGUACCGGGAGAAGAAGCACCGGCUAACUCUGUGCCAGCAGCCGCGGUAAUACAGAGGGUGCAAGCGUUGUUCGGAAUUAUUGGGCGUAAAGCGCGUGUAGGCGGCUUUGCAAGUCGGGUGUGAAAGCCCUCAGCUCAACUGAGGAAGUGCGCCCGAAACUGCAGAGCUUGAGUGCCGGAGAGGGUGGCGGAAUUCCCCAAGUAGAGGUGAAAUUCGUAGAUAUGGGGAGGAACACCGGUGGCGAAGGCGGCCACCUGGACGGUAACUGACGCUGAGACGCGAAAGCGUGGGUAGCAAACAGGAUUAGAUACCCUGGUAGUCCACGCCGUAAACGAUGAGAACUAGGUG
rnacentral:rRNA from 1 species